rnacentral:rRNA from 1 species
GAUUAACGCUGGCGGCGUGCAUAACACAUUCGGGUGGACCUUGGUGAAGCUUAGCGGCGGACGGGUGAGUAACGCGUGAGUAACCUGCCCAUAAGAGGGGGAUAACACAGAGAAAUUUGUGCUAAUACCGCAUAUAGAGAGGGAAUCGCAUGGAGCCUUCUUGAAAGAUUUAUCGCUUAUGGAUGGACUCGCGUCUGAUUAGCUAGUUGGUGAGGUAGAGGCUCACCAAGGCGACGAUCAGUAGCCGAACUGAGAGGUUGAUCGGCCACAUUGGGACUGAGACACGGCCCAGACUCCUACGGGAGGCAGCAGUGGGGGAUAUUGCGCAAUGGGGGGAACCCUGACGCAGCAACGCCGCGUGAAGGAAGAAGGCCUUCGGGUUGUAAACUUUUGUCGCAAGGGAACGAAGACUAGUGACGGUACCUUGUGAGAAAGCCACGGCUAACUACGUG